AACGUAGGAGACGAGCGUUAUCCGGAUUUAUUGGGCGUAAAGAGCGUGUAGGCGGCUUGGCAAGUCCGCUGUGAAAACUCGAGGCUCAACCUCGAGAGGUCGGUGGAAACUGCCUGGCUAGAGUCCGGAAGAGGAGAGUGGAAUUCCUGGUGUAGCGGUGGAAUGCGCAGAUAUCAGGAGGAACACCGGUGGCGAAGGCGGGUCUCUGGGCAGUAACUGACGCUGAGGAGCGAAAGCGUGGGGAGCGAACAGG
rnacentral:rRNA from 1 species